rnacentral:tRNA from 1 species
GGGGGCAUGGCGGAAUGGUAGACGCUACGGACUUAAAAUCCGUUGAUCUUAUCGAUUGUGAGGGUUCAAGUCCCUCUGCCCCCA